CAGCCCCAUAAGUAGUCAGAUCUUUAGAUUCUUUCCAUCACUCUCUGCAGCAGGGUGACUGCUCUCCUUCGACCUAGCAAAAAGACUGGAGUUUUAUUCUUUCAGGACAACACAGGUCUUUGGACUGGGGCAUGCCAGGCACGGUGUGAAAACCAGGCAAAUAAGUGAACACAGACGUGCUGAGUGCUGAAUACUGAGACCCCUGUGCUCCUCCUUCCUUGCUUCCAGAGGCUGGCUCCAUGUUGACAAUAUUUUAGUUCUCUACUCUUAAAAUAAGGAGAAGAAGGAUAACGGGACAUCUAAGGAAGCCUCUAACAAAAGGUAGAGACAAAAAUAGUAAUCGAAACAAACAUCUUAGAAGGAAAAAAAAGUUCAAAUAUUCUCAAAGAAAUGAGAUAUUGCAACCAUGAAACAAAAACAAUAUAUUAGAUAAAAAGGAACAUUCAGGAAACAAAAAAAGAUGAUAAAAAGCAUGACGACAGAGACGAAAACGUCAAUAGUCAUGAUGGAAGAUAAUUUCAAGGAAAUCAUCCAGAAACUAAAAUACAAAGACAAAGAGAUGGGAAAUAAAAGAGAAGAAAAUAAGAAGAUGGUCCAAGAGAUAGAAUGUUUGAAUCACAGAAGUUUCAAAAAGAGAAAUCAGAUAAAACGGUAGCCAGGGAAUCAUCAAUAAAAUAAUUUAAGAAAAUUUCUCAACACUGAGACAUGAGUUUCCAGAUUAAAAGAGCCAUUAAGUGACAGCAUAAAAAGAUGAAAAACAGAUCCAGCUAAGACCUAUGAGUGAAAUUUCAGGUUAACAGAGAUAAGGUUCAAGAGAGAAAAAAAGAAGACAGUAAGUAUGCCAUGGAAAUGAGGAAACAAAAUGAGUUAUCUCAACAGCAACACUGUUCUCUAGAAGAGAGGGGAGCAGCACUUUCAAAAUUAUAAAGAAAAACAUCGCUCAAUGUAGAAGUCGAUGACUAGACUGUCAGUGUUACAGUAAAAUAAAGAUAUUCUCAGAUAUAUAAAUUCUCAAAUAUUGUAUUUCCCAUGCACUCUUUCUCAGAAAAUAAUUAGAGGAUGUGCUCUAAAAAAAAAUGAGAGAGUAAACAAGAAAGAAUGGGGAUCAAGGAAAGAGGACACCCAAAUUAGGAGAAAAACAAGGCAAUUCUUAGCAUGACAAGGAAGGGAAGUUCCUGGAGACGUGCUUUGCAGUAUCUGUAAAGAGCAGUCAGUUCAGAUAGAAAAUGAAUGGAGGUCUCCAGAUGGAUGACUCCAUAAAAAAAUAAUUUGAACUGAUAGAUUGCCUAAGAAGAAUAAUCUUGGGGGAAAUGCUGCUGAAAGGCUAUUGUGAAAAAUUAGCAAAAGGCUUAAAUGAAAUCAAUCUAAUGAAAAAUCAAGGCUAUUAUUAAUGUCAAGAAAAAUAAAAGUAUAAAAGGAAGUGUAGUUUUUGUAAAUUCUUAAAAUGCUCAGCUAUAAGUAUUAUUUACACAGUCAUAAUAAUAUAAGCAAUUAAUUAAAUCUAAACAAAACUUUUAAGGUAACUCUAUUGUGGGAAAUGGGGAGGGAAGCAGAGAAAAUGAAAGUUUCAUGGAGCUAAAUCUUUAGGCACCAUAUUAGAAAGUCAAUAGAUAACACCUAAAAUUGAAUAAUCAAAAUAUAGGAGUAUAUGCAUAUUAUUUAGAAAUAUGGACAUGUAUGAAGAAAUAUCUCUAAAGGAGUCGAAAUUGAUGCCUUGGGGGAAAGAAAUUGGAGAAGAGUUUGACAGAAAAUCACUGUAUUUUGUUACAUAUAUUUGACUUAUAAACCAUGCAUAUAUAUUAUUUUUAAAAAAUAAGUUUUAAAAGGAAAAAAAAGAAUAUAUUUAUUGAAGGGGCUUAGAAGAGGCCUCCCCAAGGUGUGCCACUUUGGCAUGUGGAAUGUUGAGCUAAAGGCAAUCGAGAGCCUGCGGGUUCAAGAGCAACUUUUACCUCAGCCUGGAAGAAUUUAAAUUGAGGGCCUUGCCCAUAAUAAGAGUUAUUACCAGAAAUAACUUUUUAUGACCUAUCUGUAUGGUAGGGCAAACAUCUAAUUACUGAACAUCUGCUCUUCUUAUCAUUCUGUGAAUUGCCCUCCUCCCCUCUGAAGCCCUAGGCCCCUAUCCCGUGGCUCAAGAUGGCGUCUAUAUCUCAUUUUACCUUUCUGUCUCUGAACCCCUUAUGUAUGUGAAGUCUCUGACUCUCUCAUAUAUGUGGAGUUCCCAUACAUAUGAAAUUAAAUUUGAUUUUCUCCUGAUAAUUUGUCUUGUGUCAGUUUAAUACUUAGAUCAGCCAGAACCUAGAAGGGUAGAGGAAAAUUUCUUCCUACCCCACAGUUGGUGUAGUUGGUAGGAUAAGCUUCCCUGGCUAGACUCUGCUCCCUCUGAGGCCACUGCAGAGAGAUCCUGGGACAUCUGACAAGCGCCAGCAGAAGAUUUCCUCCUUCUGGACCCUUUGAGCACCUGCAGCUGGACUUCAUUCAACUGCCACUCAGAUACAAUUGGAAACUGCUUACAUUGCCAAGGCUUUGAUUGGAAUGCCACAUUUGAGAGAGACAUACAUAGACUCAGAUAUAACCAGACAGCUUUAAGGAACUAAGAUUGACUUUAUGGAGCCAAUAAAGACCUUUGGAAAGAACAACCUGGUACCUUGCUUACAUGGUCCCUGACAGCCUAACCAGAAAUGCCUCUUAUUAAAUUCCUGGUUGCUGGCACUAUAGGCCUAACUUUGGGAGCCCACCUGUAUCACCACCUCCUGAAAAGAGAGAAAACUGUUUAAAUGAACUGACCUAUUCUCAGAACUAAGAGACUGGCUCAACGAGAUAGAGCAUUCUACCAGCUUAACUUCUGAAAUGUGAAACUUCUCAGGAAGUCUCAAAGGGAGCCUGAGGGAUUCAGAACAGACAGAACAAGAUCUGCCACUUUGGCAUAUGGAAUAUAUUUUGAGCUACAGGCAAUGAAGACCUUGUGGGCUCAAGAGAAAACUCUUACCUCAGCCUUAAAGAAUUUAAAUUGAGGGCCUUGCCCAUAAUAAAAAUUAUUACCAGAAAUAACUUUUUAUGACCUACAUGCAUGGUAGGGCAAACAUCUAAUUACUAAACAUCUGCUUUUCUUAUUGUCCUGUGAACUCACCUCCUCCCCUUUGAAGCCCCAGGGCUCUAUCCCAUUCCUCAACUCAGGAUGGUAUAUGUGCUUCAUUUGCCUUUCUAUCUCUGAAUCUCUCAUGUAUGUGGGGGUCUCUGACUCUCUCAUGUAUGUGGGGUUCCUGUACAUAAAAAAUUAAAUUUGAUUUUAUCCUGUUAAUCUGUUUCCUGUCAACAAAAUUCUUAGACCAGCCAGAAGAACCCAGAAGGCUAGAGAAAAAUUUCUUCCUCGCCCACAUUAGUUAAAAAUGUUUCCAUAUUCACACUCAUUGAACAAAUGUGUGUGAAGAAUUUUCUGGGUGCCCAGCUCAAUGCUCUGAACUUGGGAUAAAACUGGAAUAAGAUAGGUUUCUAACCUCAAGGAGCUCACAAAGUUGGAAGACGACAGAAGGGUGGUGAGAGAAACAUGAAACAAAUAAUGUCUUAUAACAUUGCUGUAAGUGCUAGAUGAGAGUAUAAAUUGUAGUUUGGGGAAUUAAAUUGUCUUAAAAGAAAUAUAAGAGAAAAAGUUUCUUGAAAAUAAAUGUUUUUACAGUUUAAAAGAGGUUACUGUAUCAGCUCAUUAAUAAUAAUAGUAGUAAUAGCUGCUACUUUUUCUUUUUAUUGUC